AUAAACAGCUUUGAAUGUUCAUGAAAUGAGGGGUAACUCAGAUGCUUUUUAGCUGAUUAUGACUCUGGUAGAGCUGAACUGAGGUGCAGGAGUGAUCUUAAUUCUUACACCCACUACUCUAAUCUGACCUCAGAAGUAUGAUGCUGAGCAAGUGGAAAGAGACCCAACUAUCACCAGAGCUGGCAAGCCCCAGCGGGAUGGCCAACCCCCGAGAGAUAGGAGAGCGGGAGAAACAGCCUGGCAGAGGCCUGGAGAUGCCGGCUGGCGUCAGUGAUUUCCUGCAGGAGAUUCUGCCGGCCGAGUGCACAUCACCCUUCUCUCGCCCCUCCAUCUUCUCCCAUGUGCUGUUCAAAUAGACUAAGGCAACCCUGGGUCAUGCUCAUCCAAACAGUUGUUUAACCUCAUCUGUGGCACCCAGGUAGGAGGCAGGAUCAUCCGUUUGGAACAAGACGGGGAGGAGAUGAGCUAGAUCCCUGAGCAGCUGGCUUCUGCAUUACAGAGCUUCUCUUUCCACACAGAGGAGCCUUUUGGGCCCUUGCUCAGAGAUCAUUGACUCUUACUUAACACACAGCUCUAAUUAGCUUGGUAAAGUACUUUCUGGCACCUAAGUAUAUUGUUAGUGGGAGCGAAAGGUGGGGGAAAGACUAUUACAGGCUGGAGUCAACUCUUAAGAGCUAGACAGAGGAGAUGGGGUCUGUGGGGACGGCAGUGGCUGGGUUUCCUGCUCAAAGGGGGACGCUGAGCAAUUGGCCCUGUAAGUCCUUUACACCUUUUCAGUUCACGUCUCUGUAUCUGGUUUGGCUGUGUUAGUGAGGGACAGAGAGGAGGUGAAGGUGACUCCAGUGGGGAGCUGGUAUCCAGCUGGAAAAGUGGGCUUGUAUUUUGCGGAACCCUGGGUUUUGUUGCACAAAAGUACUCACCCGCUUUUGCCGGAGUCUUCCAGACUCUCAGGUGAUACUUGUCCCUCAUGGUUAUGAUCUGCUUACCUAUCUGUCACCCUGAUCCCCAAGCAUCCCUAGCAUCCCACACAGUGCCUGUUGGAACUUAAUAAAUAAUUGUUGAAUGAAUGAAUGGUUAUUCCAGACAAUCCAGAUAAAGCCUCUUAGCACAGUGCUCACCUUGUAAACACUAGAUAUCAGUAAAUGCCUGCCUGCCUAUUUCAACAUAGAGAAAAUAAUCUUCCCUAGAUCUGAGCAGCUACAUUAAGUUUGUGCUUGCCUGACAUCCCCACCACAUGCCCCUCCCUGGUGAUAAUAUUCUGGAGCAAUGGUCUCUGAGGAUUCUCCAAGAGCCAGACGCCUGCGUCAGAGCAUUGAGGGGGCCGCUUAAUGACAGAGAUGUUGGGCUAAGUAGGCUACUCUCAGUCAAUUUGAAAAUUAAAAAGGCAUCCUUCUCCCAAGAGAGAAACUUCAAAUUAUGAACCCCUUUGACCCAUAAUCAGACCCCCUGGUCCUUUGUUAGUGAGAGGACCCCACCUCACCUCUCUUUUUGUGGCCCCACACAGCACAUAUGUAAAUAUGUUUACACCUUGUGUUGCUUGUCCUUGAUGGCUAGUAUACUGGUGUGUUUCUGUGUAUGUUAAUUUUUUCAUUUCACUCAUCCAGUGAAAUUGUGGCCCCCACCACCCCUUCCUCCGCCGCCGGCCAAGACCCUUCUGAAAGGAGACAUCUUAUACGGUGGUCCCAGGAGUCUCUGAUCAGCCCAGGACUCAUCACAAUGUCUGUCAUUUAAUAUCUCCUUUGCACCAGAUCGGAGAAGGCAAUGGCACCCCACUCCAGUACUCUUGCCUGGAAA
ensembl:lncRNA